CAACCUCACCGCCGCCCUCGGCGCCGGCAGCAGCACGAGCAAACCCCCAGCGCCGCUCUCCUCCCGACCUCCACACGCCGAACCCGGUGAGUAGAGCUCCGCUUCCACCGCCUGCUUCUUCUCCGCCCAACCAGUGAGGUUCUAAUCUGCAGCGUUGACGAGAGGAACUGGCUACAAUGGAGAUGGAGGGGAAGAGCAACAGCGUGACCAAGGUGGUCAAGGAAGGAGGAGAUGGUCGGCAAGAGGGAGAGGGCACCACGUGGAUGGACAUCUCUCACAUCUUGCAGCUGGAGGGGAACAGCUGCAGCAAUGGUAGCAAGAUCAAACAAGGAGGAGAAGGUCAGCAAGAGGGAGAGGACAUCGUCAGGAAGCAGCAUGCCAUUGUCAUCAUGGGAACGGACGUCUUCGAUUGCCCCAUCUGCUCUACCCCCCUUAGCCCUCCCAUU